ACGUAGGUGGCGAGCGUUGUUCGGAUUCACUGGGCUUAAAGGGCGCGUAGGCGGGCGGUCAAGUCGGGGGUGAAAUCUUUCAGCUUAACUGGAAACGUGCCUUCGAUACUGAUCGUCUUGAGGGAGGUAGGGGCAUGUGGAACUUCCGGUGGAGCGGUGAAAUGCGUAGAUAUCGGAAGGAACGCCGGUGGCGAAAGCGACGUGCUGGACCUCUUCUGACGCUGAGGCGCGAAAGCUAGGGGAGCAAACGGGA
rnacentral:rRNA from 1 species